CAGGACGAACGCUGGCGGCGUGCCUAACACAUGCAAGUCGAACGGGACUGAUUGGAAAGCGGCUUCGGCCAAUGGAAGAUCAGUUUAGUGGCGAACGGGUGAGUAACACGUGAGGAACCUGCCUUCCAGUGGGGGACAACAGUUGGAAACGACUGCUAAUACCGCAUAACAUUCACGGACCGCAUGAUCUGUGAAUCAAAGCUUUAUGUGCUGGAAGAUGGCCUCGCGUCUGAUUAGCUAGUUGGUGGGGUAACGGCUCACCAAGGCGACGAUCAGUAGCCGAACUGAGAGGUUAAUCGGCCACAUUGGGACUGAGACACGGCCCAGACUCCUACGGGAGGCAGCAGUGGGGAAUAUUGCGCAAUGGGGGAAACCCUGACGCAGCAACGCCGCGUGAAGGAUGAAGGCCUUCGGGUUGUAAACUUUUUGAUCGGGGACGAAUAAUGACGGUACCCGAAAAACAAGUCACGGCUAACUACGUG
rnacentral:rRNA from 1 species